rnacentral:lncRNA from 1 species
GAAGUGAGCAAUUAGUCUGAAACCCUUCGGACCAGCUUUACUUUCAGGCAAGGUCUGAGCAGUGUGAUGCUGACACAGGGAUCUUUAGCAGUCACAAGGAUGGCCCAUGCUGGUGGCGAAGAUUUGUACAACUCUGUGAUUGUCCAGGAAGAAGGUUCACCACCCUCCACCUAUGCCAUUGUCAUGGUGUCUCUCAGUGGAAGCCUCCUGCUGCUGGUUGCCAUCAGCAUGGCAGUAAGUGUUCUCCGCAGGCGUUGCACGCCAAAUUAUUCCUCCAAAGACCUCAGAACAGCUGUGGUGGUGGAAAAAGUCACAGUGGCAAACUGCAGCUCCGACAGGAUUUCGACGGUGGAUUUGACUGGCCCGAUGUGCAUAAAUUACAUUUCCUACAAGCAAAACGCGUGCCCAGACACAGUUUGCCGUCUCUGAAGAAACAAUUUCCAUUUCUGAUGCUUCUCCUUUGACAACACCCCCCAGUUCAGCACCAGAGCAAUGACAGCCCACAGCUUCUUCCAUUUGCAGCUUCCUUCUGGAGAGAAAAGGGGAUAAAGGACUCAGGGGAUAUGUGCUAGCUGAGAGAGUGGACUGACACUCAUUUUCUCCACCAAAGUGCUGGACUGUGAACUCAUACCACAAAAGUAUUAGAAAAUGCAGGG